rnacentral:rRNA from 1 species
UUUAAAAAAAUACGCCGUCGGGGAGCUUUACUAGGACUCACUAGAAAAACACCUAAAUCUGAAAGUAAUCUUAAAAAAAUCAAUUCUAGGAAAAAGGAGCAAUAUCGUAUUCGUCUUCAAGAAAAACAAAAGUUGCGUUUUCAUUAUGGUCUGACAGAACGACUAUUACUUAGAUAUGUACAUAUCGCUGGAAAAGCAAGGUCAACAGGCCAGGUUUUACUACAAUUACUUGAAAUGCGUUUGGAUAAUAUCCUUUUUCGAUUGGGUAUGGCUUCAAUCAUUCCUGGGGCCCGCCAAUUAGUCAACCAUAGACAUAUUUUAGUUAAUGGUCGUAUAGUCAAUAUACCAAGUUUUCAUUGCAAACCCCAAGAUAUUAUUACUACGAAAGAUAACCAAAGAUCAAAAGGUCUGGUUCAAAAUUAUAUUGCUUCAUCGGACCCGGGGAAAUUGCCAAAGCAUUUGGUGAUUGACACGUUGGAAUAUAAAGGACUAGUAAAUAAAAUCCUAGAUAGGAAGUGGGUCGGUCUCAAAAUAAAUGAGUUGUUAGUUGUAGAAUAUUACUCUCGUCAGACUUGA